UACGGAGGGGGCUAGCGUUAUUCGGUAUUACUGGGCUUAAAGAGUUCGUAGGCGGCUCUGUAGGUGAGAUGUGAAAGCCCUCGGCUUAACCGAGGAACUGCGUUUCAAACCACAGGGCUUGAGGGAGAUAGGGGUAAGCGGAACAGAUGGUGGAGCGGUGAAAUGCAUUGAUAUCAUCUGGAACACCGGUGGCGAAGGCGGCUUACUGGGUCUUUUCUGACGCUGAGGAACGAAAGCUAGGGUAGCGAACGGG
rnacentral:rRNA from 1 species